AGAGUUUGAUCCUGGCUCAGGAUGAACGCUGACAGAAUGCUUAACACAUGCAAGUCAACUUGAACUUCGGUUUGGGUGGCGGACGGGUGAGUAACGCGUAAAGAACUUGCCUCACAGCUAGGGACAACAUUUGGAAACGAAUGCUAAUACCUGAUAUUAUGAUUUUAGGGCAUCCUAGAAUUAUGAAAGCUAUAUGCGCUGUGAGAGAGCUUUGCGUCCCAUUAGCUAGUUGGAGAGGUAACGGCUCACCAAGGCGAUGAUGGGUAGCCGGCCUGAGAGGGUGAUCGGCCACAAGGGGACUGAGACACGGCCCUUACUCCUACGGGAGGCAGCAGUGGGGAAUAUUGGACAAUGGACCGAGAGUCUGAUCCAGCAAUUCUGUGUGCACGAUGAAGUUUUUCGGAAUGUAAAGUGCUUUCAGUUGGGAAGAAAAAAAUGACGGUACCAACAGAAGAAGUGACGGCUAAAUACGUGCCAGCAGCCGCGGUAAUACGUAUGUCACGAGCGUUAUCCGGAUUUAUUGGGCGUAAAGCGCGUCUAGGUGGUUAUGUAAGUCUGAUGUGAAAAUGCAGGGCUCAACUCUGUAUUGCGUUGGAAACUGUAUAACUAGAGUACUGGAGAGGUAAGCGGAACUACAAGUGUAGAGGUGAAAUUCGUAGAUAUUUGUAGGAAUGCCGAUGGGGAAGCCAGCUUACUGGACAGAUACUGACGCUGAAGCGCGAAAGCGUGGGUAGCAAACAGGAUUAGAUACCCUGGUAGUCCACGCCGUAAACGAUGAUUACUAGGUGUUGGGGGUCGAACCUCAGCGCCCAAGCAAACGCGAUAAGUAAUCCGCCUGGGGAGUACGUACGCAAGUAUGAAACUCAAAGGAAUUGACGGGGACCCGCACAAGCGGUGGAGCAUGUGGUUUAAUUCGA
rnacentral:rRNA from 1 species